GGGGAAUGAAAAUUACUAUAAUUCGAUAAUGCAACACAACUGGAGCUAGUGUCUUCUUGGUGAUGAACAAUGUGCAAGACCAAAAAGGCAAAUGGAUUAUGGAACACGCCAACCAACAGGACUUCAGCAGCUGUGGCGUUUUAAUCUUGAUGUAUGCCAAGGAGUUCCUGCGUACGAGGGUCAUUUGCACAGUGGAGACCUCAGCAGAAGCAGUGAUGAAUGCACAACUGCAAAUAGCUUGUGCUCUGCUCCAGUAUAAAGG